rnacentral:rRNA from 1 species
AAAAUUUAGUUAGAAUUUUAUUUUUUAGUUAAAAAGCUAAAAUAUAUUCAAAAGACGAGAAGACCCUAUAAAUCUUGAUUAUUUAGUAAUUUUUAGUUUAUUUUGAUUUUUUUUAUUAUAAAUUUAUUAAUUAAUUUUAUUGGGGUGAUAUUAAAAUUUAAAUAACUUUUAAUAAUUUUUAUCAUUUAUUUAUGAUUAAGUGAUCCAUUAUUAGUGAUUAAAAAAUUAAGUUACUUUAGGGAUAACAGCGUAAUUUUUUUGGAGAGUUCUUAUCGAUAAAAAAGUUUGCGACCUCGAUGUUGGAUUAAGAUUCAUAUUUAAAUGUAGAAGUUUAAAUAUAAAGUCUGUUCGAC